GUGUCAGCAGCCGCGGUAAUACGAAGGGGGCUAGCGUUGUUCGGAAUUACUGGGCGUAAAGCGCGCGCAGGCGGUUUUUCAAGUCAGUGGUGAAAGCCCGGAGCUCAACUCCGGAAAUGCCAUUGAAACUGUGAAACUUGAGGAUGAGAGAGGUGAGUGGAAUUUCCAGUGGAGCGGUGAAAUUCGUAGAUAUUGGGAGGAACACCAGAGGCGAAGGCGGCGACCUGGAAGGUAACUGACACUGAGCAGCGAAAGCGUGGGGAGCAAACAGGAUUAGAUACCCCCGUAGUCC
rnacentral:rRNA from 1 species